UCAGACGGCCGGGCGGUCGCGGCGGGGGUUAUGCCCGCGUCGAGGAAAGUCCGGGCUCCACGGUGAAAAGGCGGCGGGUAACUCCCGCCCGGGGCGACCCGAGGGAUAGCGCCACAGAAAGCAAACCUCCGGCCUUGCGAGGCCGGUAAGGGUGAAAGGGUGGGGUAAGAGCCCACCGCGUGCCUGGCAACAGGGACGGCAUGGCAAGCCCCGCCUGGAGCAAGACCGAAUAGGGACGUCGCGCGNAGGGUGAAAGGGUGGGGUAAGAGCCCACCGCGUGCCUGGCAACAGGGACGGCAUGGCAAGCCCCGCCUGGAGCAAGACCGAAUAGGGACGUCGCGCGGUUUCGGCCGCAGGGUUCAUCGCCCGAGGCGUCCGGGUAGGUCGCGAGAACCGUUCAGCAAUGGGCGGUCCAGAGGAAUGAUCGUCGCCCGCUUCGGCGGGAACAGAACCCGGCUUACAGGCCGUCUGACAUU
rnacentral:RNase_P_RNA from 2 species